CCCAGACUCCUACGGGAGGCAGCAGUGGGGAAUAUUGGACAAUGGGGGGAACCCUGAUGCAGCGACGCCGCGUGGGUGAAGGAGCGUUUCGGCGCGUAAAGCCCUAUCGGCAGGGAAGAAGGAGGACGGUACCUGACUAAGAAGCCCCGGCUAACUACGUGCCAGCAGCCGCGGUAAUAAGUAGGGGGCAAGCGUUAUCCGGAUUUACUGGGUGUAAAGGGGGCGCAGACGGCAGCGCAAGCCAGGAGUGAAAGCCCGGGGCCCAACCCCGGGACUGCUCUUGGAACUGCGCGGCUGGAGUGCAGGAGGGGCAGGUGGAAUUCCUGGUGUAGCGGUGAAAUGCGUAGAUAUCAGGAGGAACACCGGUGGCGAAGGCGGCCUGCUGGACGUCGACUGACGUUGAGGCCCGAAAGCGUGGGGAGCAAACAGGAUUAGAUACCCGUGUAGAC
rnacentral:rRNA from 1 species